rnacentral:rRNA from 1 species
UAGGGAAUAUUGCGCAAUGGGGGAAACCCUGACGCAGCUAUGCCGCGUGUGUGAAGAAGGCCUUAGGGUUGUAAAGCACUUUCAAUUGGGAGGAAAAGUUCAAAGUUAAUACCUUUGAGCCCUGACGUUACCUUUAGAAGAAGCACCGGCUAACUCCGUGCCAGCAGCCGCGGUAAUACGGAGGGUGCAAGCGUUAAUCGGAAUUACUGGGCGUAAAGCGCGCGUAGGCGGUUUGUUAAGUCGGAUGUGAAAGCCCCGGGCUCAACCUGGGAACUGCAUUCGAUACUGGUCGACUAGAGUGCGAGAGAGGGAGGUAGAAUUCCACGUGUAGCGGUGAAAUGCGUAGAUAUGUGGAGGAAUACCGGUGGCGAAGGCGGCCUCCUGGCUCGACACUGACGCUGAGGUGCGAAAGCGUGGGGAGCAAACAGG